rnacentral:ncRNA from 1 species
AAAAAAUCAGUGAAAGAACGAGUAAAUUUUAUCCUGACUGUAUAAGAGAAAGUGGCCUUGGCUGAAAGCUACUUCAUCAGAGAAAUUGAAAGACAUUCUAGAGAUGAACGGAAGAAAAGCCGUUCCGUUGCGAGCGUUAAUCGUUAGAGGAAAGAGCAAUCUUUCAAACUUAGGUGGUACCGCGUGUGUCUAUUCACUCGCCCUUGUA